GACGAACGCUGGCGGCGUGCUUAACACAUGCAAGUCGAACGGAAAGGCCCUGCUUUUGUGGGGUGCUCGAGUGGCGAACGGGUGAGUAACACGUGAGUAACCUGCCCUUGACUUUGGGAUAACGUCAGGAAACUGGGGGUAAUACCGGAUAGGAGCUCCUGCUGCAUGGUGGGGGUUGGAAAGUUUCGGCGGUUGGGGAUGGACUCGCGGCUUAUCAGCUUGUUGGUGGGGUAGUGGCUUACCACGGCUUUGACGGGUAGCCGGCCUGAGAGGGUGACCGGCCACAUUGGGACUGAGAUACCGCCCAGACUCCUCCGGGAGGCAGCAGUGGGGAAUAUUGCACCAUGGGCGGAAGCAUGAUGCAGCAACGCCGCGUGCGGGAUGACGGCCUUCGGGUUGUAAACCGCUUCCGCCUGUGACGAAGCGUGAGUGACGGUAAUGGGUAAAGAAGCACCGGCUAACUACGUG
rnacentral:rRNA from 1 species